ensembl:snRNA U7 U7 small nuclear RNA
AGGAAAUUUUGCUCUUUUAGUAUUUGUCCAGCAGGUCUUCAUUUAACGAAGGCCCAC